rnacentral:RNase_P_RNA from 1 species
CGGACCGGUCAGACAGUCGCUGGCAGUGCUUUUCUCUGAAGGGCCUGCUGGAGGAAAGUCCGGGCUCCAAAGGGCAGGGUGCCAGGUAACGCCUGGGGACUUUACUGGCGACGGUAAAGUUACGGCUAGUGCCACAGAGAAGAUACCGCCCGUUCCUUCUCCGGAAGGUUCAGGUAAGGGUGAAAAGGUGCGGUAAGAGCGCACCGCGCCGCUGGUAACAGCGGUGGCAGGGUAAACCCCACCCGGAGCAAGACCAAAUAGGGAUCCUGUGGCGUGGCCCGCGCUGGAUCCGGGUAGGUUGCUAGAGGCUGAUGGCGACGUCAGCCCCAGAUGAAUGACUGUCCACGACAGAACCCGGCUUAUCGACCGGUCCACUUA